GGUUUUUUGGGUGAAUAAAAAAUCUAGCCUGCUCAAUGCUUUAUGUGAAUAGCCGCAGUAUUAUAACUGUGCUAAGGUAGCAUAAUCAUUUGUCUUUUAAAUGAAGUCUGGAAUGAAAGGCCGGACGAAAAGAAAUCUGUCUCUUUAUUAAAAAGUGAAUUUUAUUAUUUAGUAAAAAGGCUAAUAUAAGCCUGAGGGACGACAAGACCCUAUUAAACUUAAUUUUUAUGAUUUUGCUGGGGCGGUAGUAUAAGAAUAGAAUCUUAUUUAAAAGGUUUUGUAUUUGUAGACCCAAUAUUAUUGAGGAAUAGAUGAAGUUACUAUAGGGAUAACAGCUUUAUUUUUUCUUGAAGUUCUUAUUUUAGGAAAAGUUUGAGACCUCGAUGUUGAAUUAAGGUGUCUUUAUAGUGCAAAAGCUAUAAUCAGAAAGUCUGUUCGACUUUUAAAUCUUUACA
rnacentral:rRNA from 1 species